GAAUCUUGGACAAUGGGGGCAACCCUGAUCCAGCGACGCCGCGUGGGUGAUGAAGGCCUUCGGGUUGUAAAGCCCUUUCGCCGGGGAAGAUGAUGACGGUACCCGGUAAAGAAGCACCGGCUAACUCCGUGCCAGCAGCCGCGGUAAGACGGAGGGUGCUAGCGUGGUUCGGAAUCACUGGGCGUAAAGGGCGCGUAGGCGGCGUCGGCAGUCAGAUGUGAAAGCCCGGAGCUCAACUUCGGAAUUGCAUUUGAUACUCCGAUGCUGGAGGUCGGAAGAGGAGAGUGGAAUACCCAGUGUAGAGGUGAAAUUCGUAGAUAUUGGGUGGAACACCGGUGGCGAAAGCGGCUCUCUGGUCCGUACCUGACGCUGAGGCGCGAAAGCGUGGGGAGCAAACAGG
rnacentral:rRNA from 1 species